CCUACGGGAGACAGCAGUGAGGAAUAUUGGUCAAUGGGCGCUAGCCUGAACCAGCCAAGUAGCGUGAAGGAUGACUGCCCUAUGGGUUGUACACUUCUUUUAUAUGGGAAUAAAGUGCAGUAUGUAUACUGCUUUGCAUGUACCUUAUGAAUAAGGAUCGGCUAACUCCGUGCCAGCCGCCGCGGUAAUACGGAGGAUCCGAGCGUUAUCUGGAUUUAUUGGGUUUAAAGGGAGCGUAGGCGGGUUGUUAAGUCAGUUGUGAAAGUUUGCGGCUCAACCGUAAAAUUGCAGUUGUUACUGGCAUCCUUGAGUACAGUAGAGGUAGGCGGAAUUCGUGGUGUAGCAGUGAAAUGCUUAGAUAUCACGAAGAACUCCGAUUGCGAAGGCAGCCUGCUGGACUGUAACUGACGCUGAUGCUCGAAAGUGUGGGUAUCAAACAGGAUUAGAUACCCCUGUAGUC
rnacentral:rRNA from 1 species